GGUUGAUAGGCCAGACAUGGAAGCGCAGUAAUGUGUUUUUUGAGUGGACUGGUACUAAUCGGCCGAGGGCUUGACCU
rnacentral:rRNA from 1 species